rnacentral:piRNA from 1 species
UGCAAGAAGAAACACACGCUGCUGUGCCC